rnacentral:rRNA from 1 species
AGUGAACGCUGGCGGCAGGCCUAACACAUGCAAGUCGAACGGCAGCACAGGAGAGCUUGCUCUCUGGGUGGCGAGUGGCGGACGGGUGAGGAAUACGUCGGAAUCUGCCUAUUUGUGGGGGAUAACGUAGGGAAACUUACGCUAAUACCGCAUACGACCUACGGGUGAAAGCGGAGGACCUUCGGGCUUCGCGCAGAUAGAUGAGCCGACGUCGGAUUAGCUAGUUGGCGGGGUAACGGCCCACCAAGGCGACGAUCCGUAGCUGGUCUGGGAGGAUGGUCAGCCACACUGGAACGGAGACACGGUCCAGACUCCUACGGGAGGCAGCAGUGGGGAAUAUUGGACAAUGGGCGCAAGCCUGAUCCAGCCAUGCCGCGUGAGUGAAGAAGGCCCUCGGGUUGUAAAGCUCUUUUGUCCGGAAAGAAAAGCGCUCGGUUAAUACCCAAGCGUCAUGACGGUACCGGAAGAAUAAGCACCGGCUAACUUCGUGCCAGCCGCCGCUGUAAUAC